rnacentral:misc_RNA from 1 species
GCAAAUCUAAGCUCGUUAAUGUCGAUUCAGAUCUGAGAGAAGAAGAAGAAGGAAGGAACAAGGAACUACUGUGAAUCUCUCAACUCACUGUGAAAUUUACACUUUUGCCCUUCCCACCUCCAUUACCGUCCAACAAUGGCGUACUCAUUCCCGGAGGAAGUACUAGAACACGUCUUCUCCUUCCUCACCACCGACAAAGACCGUAACGCGGUAUCUGUAGUCUGCAAAUCGUGGUACGAGAUCGAACGGUGGUGUAGGAGGAGAAUAUUCGUCGGAAAUUGCUAUGCUGUUAGCCCUAGGAUCAUGAUCCGACGGUUUCCAGAAGUCAGAUCUGUUGAGCUUAAAGGGAAGCCUCAUUUUGCUGAUUUCAAUCUUGUACCGGAAGGUUGGGGAGCUUAUGUGUAUCCUUGGAUUUUGGCUAUGUCUAGGUCUUAUCCAUGGCUUGAAGAAAUUAAGCUUAAAAGGAUGGUAAUUACUGAUGAGUCGUUGGAGUUGAUUUCUAAGUCGUUUAAGAACUUUAAAGUUUUGGUUUUGUCUUCAUGUGAUGGGUUUACUACUGAUGGACUUGCUGCUAUUGCUGCUAACUGCAGGAAUCUGAGAAAACUAGACUUGGGGGAGAGUGAAGUGGAGGACCUUAGUGGGCAUUGGCUAAGCCAUUUCCCUGAUAACUGCACGUCACUUGUUUCACUUAACAUAGCUUGUUUGGCCUCUGAGGUCAGUCUGUUAGCGUUGGAGCGCCUGGUUACUCGCUCUCCUAAUUUGACAACUCUAAAGAUAAAUCGUGCUGUGCCCCUUGAGAGGCUUCCAAACCUGCUCCGCCGCACUUCCCAGUUGGUCAAAUUUGGUACAGGUGUUUUCUCUGCCGAUGUGCGAUCUGAUUUUUUCUCAAACCUGACAGAAGCUUUUUCAAGCUGCAAGCAACUUAAAUGCCUGUCUGGAUUUUGGGACGUUGUACCAGCUUACCUUCCAGCUUUAUAUCCAGUGUGCUCAAGACUCACCUCCUUGAAUUUGAGCUAUGCUACCUGUCAGAACCCUGACCUUGGCAAGCUCAUAAGUCAAUGUCACAAUUUGCGGCGUUUGUGGGUGCUAGACUACAUUGAAGAUACUGGUCUUGAGGAACUUGCUGCCAAUUGUAAGGACCUCCAAGAGCUGAGGGUGUUUCCUUCUGACCCAUUUGCUGCAGAACCUAAUACAACCUUGACAGAGCAAGGCCUUGUAGCUGUCUCAGAUGGCUGUCCAAAGCUCCAGUCUGUUUUAUACUUCUGCCGUCAAAUGACUAAUGCAGCUUUAGUUACUAUUGCUAGGAAUCGACCUAACAUGAUUCGUUUUCGCUUGUGUAUCAUUGAGCCUCGAACUCCUGAUUAUUUAACCCUUGGUUCAUUUGAUGCUGGUUUUGGGGCCAUAGUAGAGAACUGUAAGGAAUUGCGGCGACUUUCACUUUCUGGCCUCCUUACCGAUCGUGUCUUCGAAUACAUUGGUGCUCAUGCUAAAAAGUUAGAGAUGCUUUCCAUAGCUUUUGCUGGUGAUAGCGAUCUGGGACUCCACCAUGUGCUCUCUGGUUGUGAUAGCCUUCGGAAGUUGGAGAUCAGAGAUUGUCCGUUUGGAGACAAGGCUCUCUUGGCUAAUGCUGCAAAGCUCGAGACAAUGCGAUCCCUUUGGAUG